rnacentral:rRNA from 1 species
GACGAACGCUGGCGGCGUGCUUAACACAUGCAAGUCGAACGGAAAGGCCCUGCUUUUGUGGGGUGCUCGAGUGGCGAACGGGUGAGUAACACGUGAGUAACCUGCCCUUGACUUUGGGAUAACUUCAGGAAACUGGGGCUAAUACCGGAUAGGAGCUCCUGCUGCAUGGUGGGGGUUGGAAAGUUUCGGCGGUUGGGGAUGGACUCGCGGCUUAUCAGCUUGUUGGUGGGGUAGUGGCUUACCAAGGCUUUGACGGGUAGCCGGCCUGAGAGGGUGACCGGCCACAUUGGGACUGAGAGACGGCCCAGACUCCUACGGGAGGCAGCAGUGGAGAAUAUUGCACAAUGGGCGGAAGCCUGAUGCAGCAACGCCGCGUGCGUGAUGACGGCCUUCGGGUUGUAAACCGCUUUCGCCUGUGACGAAGCGUGAGUGACGGUAAUGGGUAAAGAAGCACCGGCUAACUACGUG